rnacentral:rRNA from 1 species
UACGGGGGGAGCAAGCGUUGUUCGGAUUUACUGGGCGUAAAGGGCGCGUAGGCGGCGUAACAAGUCACUUGUGAAAUCUCCGGGCUUAACCCGGAGCGGCCAAGUGAUACUGUUGUGCUAGAGUGCGGAAGGGGCUACUGGAAUUCUCGGUGUAGCGGUGAAAUGCGCAGAUAUCAGGAGGAACACCGAUGGCGAAGGCAGGUCUCUGGGCCACUACUGACGCUGAGAAGCGAAAGCAUGGGGAGCGAACAGG